CUUCGGAUAUCCCACAUCUACUGUGGCCAGUACAAUCUUGUUUCCAAACAUACAGAAAAGAGUUCACCACUCUGUCAAAAACUGGGGAAGAUGGAGGGCCCGUUGUCAUUGUCGCACCACAUCCCGGCUCAUUCCUGUGGCUUCAUCCCAGUCAGCUGACAGCGGGUUGGCAACCUUGGACUCUGCAGGUGGCAGUGCUCCGGUCUUUCCCUGCACCCAUUUCAGCGCUUCGGGUGAGGGUGGCUGGGAUUCUGCUGGUGCCUGCUCCUAUCCCCAAGCCAGCUGAGCCUUCACCGGUCCCUGGACCCUUAUCUGUUCUUUGGGUGGGGACAGCAGACGCUCAGCCUUUGCCUGUGCCUGUCCCGAGAGAGAGGGCAACUGUGACCCAGCUUGCUCCGCACACAUACCUACUCCUCGGGUGCGAGUGGCUGGCGCCCGAUUUUUCCCGGCACCCAUGCCGGUUUCUGGGGUGAGGCCAGCCAGGACACAGUCGAACUCCACACCCGUACCAAUCCCUGGGGUGAGAGCAGCUGGUGUACAGCAGGUGCCAGCACCCAUUCCUGCGUCAGGAGAGCCCAACCAGUGUCCAGCCACAUCAUCCUGCUUGCGCCAAAAUCUUUCAUUUUAGGGGCUCAAAAGUAAUUGGGCAAAUUAAA